rnacentral:pre_miRNA from 1 species
UUUUAUCCGCGGGUCGGGGAUCGGAAGACCCACCGACCAGGGGUCUCCGAUUCCCGACCCGCGGAUGACAG